rnacentral:tRNA from 1 species
AUGUAGCUCAUUGGUAGAGUGCUUGCCUAGAAUGCAUGAGGCCCUAGGUUUUAUCCCCAGCAU